GAGGAAAGCGGGGACAGCUCUAGUAGACAUGAGCAGUCAGUCAAACUGUGACCCUGCUUCAGAGUCCCCUUUCCCACAGCAGCCAAGUUGCAAACAAAAGGGGGUAAAAGGACAAGGAAAUCUUAUCACUUGGACAAGAAAACUGAAAGGGAGAUGGCCAAAGCUACAGAUGCCUAUCUUCAAAGGACUCUGGAAAAGCCACACCUCCCUCCCUCCAUAAACACACGAGGGGUGGUUAGCUUAUUGGUGGAUUUCUGGAGGUGACAGAUUUCAGUGAGAGUGUUGACAUCUGUCCUAACUCACUUCCCUUAACCACCCUCACAGCCUUCUCCAGUGAGGUCCAGCGGUGAGGACAUCAAGCUGUUUCCUAACAGUGCCUUGUACACACUAGGCAACUAGCGAACAUUCACCGAUGGAUCAUAAAACCGAGAAGGAGCGAAGAACAUCCAACAUGGGGAUUCUGUGCGCAUUUGUAAGCUGUUUCUGCAGUUCCACCCUCGCCCUUCGCUCGUCCACUCAGACAGGAGGUGUUGGAUCACAACUGUUAGCGCUUCAAACUUGGUGUUACCACGGGAAAGAAGCUGUCUGAGGUGCAGGAUAAAUCCACUUUGGUUUUCACAUUUUGUUUUGUAUUGGGCCAACUCAAGCGUUCUCUCGGAGGCCAGCCCAUCUGGAGCUGUCUGGGUCUGGAUGCACAGGCUCCUGGGGUUCUUCUGCCUGCCCUUUUCAACUGCAAGAGGAAGGAAAGAAAAGCACAAAGAUGCGUGAGGGUAACUCAUUUUUAUAACCACCACCACAUGGGGUUCAAAACCAGCCUACUGUGCCACACGAGAGCAUCUGAACCAUGUUUACGUCGGGACGUACGCAUGGUGGCAGGCUGGAGUUGAUAGGGGAUCAGGAUGGGUGGAAUUCAUAAACACCAUAGGCCAAUGGCUUUAGUUCUCACCGUCAAGAUUCAUGGGGAGUUAUGGACAUGAGCCAAACAGACUUAGCAACUCAGAAACAUAAAACACUGGGGGUGGGGGGAGGAGGCAAAAAUAGUGAUUUCGUGGCCUUUAUAUUUAAUUCACCAUUGAAGUCUGUGUUCAUGAGGUCACUUUUACCUGCUGAGCCAUCCCUCUAACUCCACUUCAUAGUUUUUACUCUUCCAGUUAAAUUGACAAAGAAAUCGGAAAGUCAAAGGCCCUUUUCUGCGUCUCUUGGGGUAAUCCUGGGGUAAUCCUGCGAUUUCUGUCUUUAAGUCCCUUUGUAUGUGCAUGUGUGUGCAUGUAAGGGGAGGAGGGGGAGAGAGAAUGGAUGUGAAUCUGGUAUCGUAGUGAUGCAGCAAAUUAUACCGGAGAUGAGAAGAAGUUAAGAGUGGCAUUGCACUCAUGACACAGGCUGAACAAAGCACAAGACAAUUAUACAGUAGGCGGAACUAACACACACUAUUCAAACAGUUUUGCAUUUUGGAGAAAUAAAUGCUGAAGCUAGCCAGUAGUGCACUUAAAUCCAGGAUGCAGUUUAAAUCCCCUUGUGUUCUCAAAUAGAAGAUGAAAGGGUAUGAUUAAAAAGCAGAGAUUUAAAGAGAGGAGAGAGAGAGAGAGAGAGAAAUCAUGGGAUAUCACUGAGGAAAAAUUCAGAUUAUUGAACUAGAAAUGCUUUUCUUUCCUCCUGCAGUUUCCUUUUUAAAAAAUUUGUUAGACUGGGCAUGGUGGCACACACUUUAUAAUCCCAGUGCUUGGGGGAAGGGGGGAAGAGGCAGGUGGAUCUCUGUAAGUUCCAAGACAGCCUGGUCUACAGAGAUUUUGUAGGCCAACUGAGGAGGCACAUUGAGAGUCUGCUUCCAAAUAAAUGAGUAUGUGUGUGAUUUUUGUUUGUUUGUUAGCAUGCUAAGUAAUAGACUUCAUUAUAGUAUUUCAUAGAUAAUUUAAGUUUUAAUAAGUUCCUCACAGUUGCUUACUGGACCGCCCCCCACCACCCUGAAACCUUCCCACUUUCCCAGGGACCCCUUCCUCCUUCACCUCAAGGCCCCCUGUGCCCUUUCCACAAACGUCCCCCCACAGAGCUGCCUUCCUUGCUGUCUUUCUGGUCAUUGUCACAGUCCACUCUGUAGAUGUCACUCGGAAUGGAAUGAACCAGCACAUACACUGGAGAUCCCGCACUUUGCUCCUCCCAGGUUACUGUGAAAAGCAGUGUGUGCCCGGAUACAUUGCCUCAUUUAACAACAAGUGCAAACUUCGUUCCCCAAGUUAA
ensembl:processed_transcript